GAGCAUCCAGGACCGAAGUGCCUGCCGUGCGGCGCGCUGUAAAACUUUAAAUCCAUCUGUGCAGAUCUCCUACGUAUUCGAGAAAAAAUGUGCAGUAAAUAUAUUAGGACGCACAAAUUUUUUUUGGCAAAGUUCAUCAAAUUUGAAUUUUGUAUCUUGCGCAUCAGAGCAGCUACCCGAUGUUGUUCGCCAGUCCGUGGCGUCUCGCCGGUCUCCGCACAGUCCACGCCAACAUGCAUCCGCUCGACCGCUCAGCAGGAAACAAACAGGUUCUCCUAGCGAGUACCAAGGCCAGCCCCAAGCCCCCAACUAGAGCUGCCGGCUGCGGGUCCUGCGGCGAUGCUUCCGAAUCUUUGGACUGCUCGCCUAGUCGCCUGCCCGCCCAAUGGCAGCCAUAGCGAACCGGACCACGCGAGCUUUUGCACUUUAGGUCCCAUG
rnacentral:lncRNA from 1 species